GCACUUUCGCCAGGGAUGAUAAUGACGGUACCUGGUAAAGAAACCCCGGCUAACUCCGUGCCAGCAGCCGCGGUAAUACGGAGGGGGUUAGCGUUGUUCGGAAUUACUGGGCGUAAAGCGUACGUAGGCGGAUUGGAAAGUUGGGGGUGAAAUCCCAGGGCUCAACCCUGGAACUGCCUCCAAAACUAUCAAUCUAGAGUUCGAGAGAGGUGAGUGGAAUUCCAAGUGUAGAGGUGAAAUUCGUAGAUAUUUGGAGGAACACCAGUGGCGAAGGCGGCUCACUGGCUCGAUACUGACGCUGAGGUACGAAAGUGUGGGGAGCAAACAGGAUUAGAUACCCUGGUAGUCCACACCGUAAACGAUGAAUGCCAGUCGUCGGGCAGUAUACUGUUCGGUGACACACCUAACGGAUUAAGCAUUCCGCCUGGGGAGUACGGUCGCAAGAUUAAAA
rnacentral:rRNA from 1 species